CGAUACAGAGGUGCGCUUGAA
rnacentral:siRNA from 1 species